UACAUCUUUUUUUUUUUUAAUUUGCAAAAAUUUAUUCAUAUACAAAUGUGCAAUAUCAAUAAAAUGACCAAACAGGUUUGUUCUUGAAACAUUUUCAAUUGAAUGGGAAUUAAAUGCUUUUGAAAAGUGACAAAAUGAUCAUACAGUGAAGUUGUCUCUUUCUUUAUAUAACAAGCAUAAAUCAAGUACUAACUCUUGAUUUUACUCUGAAUUAACCAUGACAUACUAAAUGAACUUGGGCUUCAGGCAGAACCUACAUCUUAAGGCGAGCUCCAGGCGAUGGGUAUGCACAUUAAGGCUUAGGAAGCACACUGUUCUAGGUUAACAGCUCAGGUCUCUGGGCUUAGCACUACAGGGAGAACGUGACUAGGAAGUGCAGACUUGGGUUCUGAUCUCAGGCUUACCACUAAAUAUCUGCUGUUUCCCACAGCCCUGCCCGCUUCUCAGGACUGUGGGGGACCAAAUGGGAUCCUUAUUAACAAGGUCCUGUAAGAUCUGGGUCCAGCCUGCCUCAGACCUUAUCAUGUAAUACUUUCUAUUUUGAGUUGGGCUUUCUAACCAGGCUGACCUCAAGUAGAGUUUGUUUCUGCCUCAGGGCCUUUGCACAGGCUGUUUUCUCUGCCUGGAACACCCUCCCUUUUGACCUCUGCACUGCAGCUGCCUCCUGUUAAUCAGAUCUCAGCCUAAAUGUUGUCUCUCCAGUGAGACCCUCCAGGGACUGCACGAGUAUCAAAUACCUUUGUCAAGAAAUAAAACCUCCCCAGGCCGUGCGCAGUGGCUCACGCCUAUAAUUCCAGCACUUUGGGAGGCCGAGUCACCAUGCCUGGCUGUUUAUGCCUAGUUUUAAAUUAGCUGGACAGCUCCAGAUGCAACCAGAGGUGCAA
rnacentral:lncRNA from 10 species